rnacentral:rRNA from 1 species
GAAACGGUGGCUAAUACCGGAUAUGCCGAAAGGUGAAAGGUUAACUGCCUGGAGAUGAGCUCGCGUCUGAUUAGCUAGUUGGUAGGGUAAAAGCUUACCAAGGCGACGAUCAGUAGCUGGUCUGAGAGGACGAUCAGCCACACUGGGACUGAGACACGGCCCAGACUCCUACGGGAGGCAGCAGUGGGGAAUUUUCCGCAAUGGGCGAAAGCCUGACGGAGCAAUACCGCGUGAGGGAGGAAGGCUCUUGGGUUGUAAACCUCUUUUCUCAGGGAAGAAAAAUGACGGUACUUGAGGAAUAAGCAUCGGCUAACUCCGUGCCAGCAGCCGCGGUAAUACGGAGGAUGCAAGCGUUAUCCGGAAUGAUUGGGCGUAAAGCGUUCGCAGGUGGCAUUGAAAGUCUGCUGUCAAAGAGUCUGGCUCAACCAGAUACAGGCAGUGGAAACUUCAAAGCUAGAGUGCGGUAGGGGCAGAGGGAAUUCCUGGUGUAGCGGUGAAAUGCGUAGAGUUCAGGAAGAACACCGGUGGCGAAAGCGCUCUGCUAGGCCGCAACUGACACUGAGGGACGAAAGC